rnacentral:rRNA from 1 species
UACGUAGGGGGCGAGCGUUGUCCGGAAUGAUUGGGCGUAAAGGGCGCGCAGGCGGCCUGUCAAGUCAGUAGUGGAAGUCCAUUUUCCAAGGAUGGAAGUGCUAUAGAAACUGAUGGGCUUGAGUGCAGGAGAGGUUAUCGGAAUUCCCGGUGUAGCGGUGAAAUGCGUAGAGAUCGGGAGGAACACCAGUGGCGAAGGCGGGUAACUGGACUGCAACUGACGCUGAGGCGCGAAAGUGUGGGGAGCAAACAGGAUUAGAUACCCU